rnacentral:rRNA from 1 species
CCUACGGGGGGCAGCAGUGGGGAAUAUUGGGCAAUGGGCGCAAGCCUGACCCAGCAACGCCGCGUGAAGGAAGAAGGCUUUCGGGUUGUAAACUUCUUUUCUCAGGGACGAAGCAAGUGACGGUACCUGAGGAAUAAGCCACGGCUAACUACGUGCCAGCAGCCGCGGUAAUACGUAGGUGGCAAGCGUUAUCCGGAUUUACUGGGGGUAAAGGGCGUGUAGGCGGGAAAGCAAGUCAGAUGUGAAAACCAUGGGGCUAACCUGUGGCCUGCAUUUGAAACUGUUUUUCUUGAGUACUGGAGAGGCAGAAGGAAUUCCUAGUGGUGCGGGGAAAUGCGUAGAUAUUAGGAGGGAAACCAGUGGCGAAGGCCGUCUGCUGGACAGCAACUGACGCUGAGGCGCGAAAGCGUGGGGAGCAAACAGGAUUAGAUACCCUUGUAGUC